ensembl:lncRNA
AACUCACCCAGGAACUCUGAGUUGGGUGUGGACCAGACAUUGUUGGUUCUCUGCUCCACAGUCACUCUCUCCAUUUUCCUAGAUAAAAGGGCCUUGAUUAAAAAAGAGAGAGAGAGAUUAGGCAUGAGGCAGCAACACAAGCAGAGCAGGUGGGUUCCAUCCAAGGGAUAAAUCAUCCUUGGUUUAAGCCAAUCCCGUAAUCCUAGUCCUCUCUGCUCUUAUUGAUUGGUUGGACCAAUCAACUGACCCCAUUCUGGCCAAUGAGAUAAAAGGGCUGCUCUGGAACGGGUUUUCUCUUUUGUCAUCCUGCUGCUGCUGCUGCUGCUGCUGCUGCUGCUAAGUCGCUUCAGUUGUGUCCGUCUCUCACCAGGCUCCCUCGUCCCUGGCAUUCUCCAGGCAAGAACACUGGAGUGGGUUGCCAUUUCCUUCUCCAAUGCGUGAAAGUGAAAAGUGAAAGUGAAGUCGCUCAGUUGUGUCCGACUCUUCGCGACCCCAUGGACGGCAGCCUACCAGGCUUCUCCGUCCAUGGGAUUUUCCAGGCAAGAGUACUGGAGUGGGUCGCCAGUGCCUUCUCCCGCUUUUGUCAUAAAGGAGAGGAAAAGGGGUUGAUGGUUUCGCCUUUUCUUCUCACCUUUAAGUGUGUUUUUUGAGGUGAUAGUGGUUAGAGCUCGAGGGACAAUAUUUCUAAUUCACUGAGGAUGAAAUGGAGUGCACGGACGAAGGACACCUUGGAGCAACAGAACCAAUUGCUCUGCUGACUCUUCUGGGCUCCUCGUUCUGUGAGUCACUCAGUUGCAUCUGACUCUUCGCGUUCCCGUGGACUGCAGCAUUCCUCUCUUCCCGGAGUUUGCUUAAACUCAUGUCCAUCGAGUCAGUGAUGCCAUCCAACCAUCUCAUCCUCUGUUGCCCCCUUCUCUUCCUGCCCUCAAUCUUUC